CCUACGGGAGGCUGCAGUGGGGAAUAUUGGGCAAUGGAGGCAACUCUGACCCAGCAACGCCGCGUGAAUGAUGAAGGUCUUCGGAUUUUAAAGUUCUGUGAUUGGGGAUGAACACAAUGACGGUACUCCACUAGCAAGCCACGGCUAACUACGGGCCAGCAGCCGCGGGAAUACGUAGGUCGCAAGUGUUAUCCGGAAUGACUGGGUGUAAAGGGUGCGUAGGUGGUUUAGUAAGUUGGCGGGGAAAUUCCGGGGCUCAACCCCGGCGCUGCCGCCAAAACUAUUGGACUAGAGUGCAGGAGAGGUAAGUGGAAUGCCUAGUGUAGCGGUGAAAUGCGUAGAUAUUAGGAGGAACAUCAGGGGCGAAGGCGACAUACUGGACUGUAACUGACGCUGAGGCACGAAAGCGUGGGGAGCAAACAGGAUUAGAUACCCUUGUAGUC
rnacentral:rRNA from 1 species